rnacentral:rRNA from 1 species
UACAGGGGGGGCAAGCGUUGUUCGGAAUUAUUGGGCGUAAAGGGUGCGUAGGCGGCCUGACAAGUCUGAUGUGAAAUCCCUGGGCUCAACCCAGGGCCUGCAUCGGAAACUGUCGGGCUUGAGUAUGGGAGAGGUGAGUGGAAUUUCCGGUGUAGCGGUGAAAUGCGUAGAUAUCGGAAGGAACACCUGUGGCGAAAGCGGCUCACUGGACCAUUACUGACGCUGAGGCACGAAAGCCAGGGGAGCGAACGGG